rnacentral:rRNA from 1 species
GAUGAACGCUGGCGGCGUGCCUAAUACAUGCAAGUCGAACGAAGAACCUUCGGGUUCUUAGUGGCGAACGGGUGAGUAAUACAUAAGCAACCUGCCCCUAUGUCUGGGAUAACUAUUGGAAACGAUAGCUAAUACCGGAUACGAGUAUCUCUGGCAUCUGAGAUAUUUAAAAGAUGGGUUACAUCGCAAAGGGAUGGGCUUAUGGCGCAUUAGCUAGUUGGUGAGGUAACGGCUCACCAAGGCGAUGAUGCGUAGCCGGCCUGAGAGGUGAUCGGACACAUUGGGACUGAGAUACGGCCAGACUCCUACGGGAGCAGCAGCUAAGAAUAUUCCGCAAAUGGACGAAAGUCUGACGGAGCGAGCCGCGUGAACGAAGAAGGUGG